rnacentral:misc_RNA from 1 species
AACUUUCGGCAACGUAUCACUUGGCUCUCGCAUCGAUGAAGAACGCAGCGCAAUGCGAUAAGUAAUGUGAAUUGCAGAAUGCAGUGAAUCAUCGAAUCUUUGAACGCACCUUGCGAUCCUUGGUAUUCCGAGGAGCAUGCCUGUUUGAGUAUCAUGAAGUUCUCAAACCUGAUCAGCUUUUGCUGAUUAGGCGUGGAUCCUGGGAGUUAUGCAGGCUUCCACAAAAGUCUGCUCUCCUUAAAUGCAUCAGCUGGAAUCCAACCAGCCUUCUCUGGUGUGAUAAUUAUCUGCGCCAUGGGGGGCUGGAAGAAGGGUUUUGCUUCUAAUGGUCUUUCGGGACAAUUGAUAACAUUUGAUCUCAAAUCAGGUAGGACUACCCGCUGAACUUAAGCAUAUCAAUAAGCGGAGGC